AGGGAAUAUUAGUAAUGGGCGAAAGCCUGAACUAGCAACGCCGCGUGUACGAAGAAGGCCUUCGGGUUGUAAAGCACUUUUUGAGAGGAUGAGGAAGGACGGUACUCUCAGAAUAAGUCUCGGCUAACUACGUGCCAGCAGCCGCGGUAACACGUAGGAGGCAAACGUUAUCCGGAUUUACUGGGCGUAAAGCGCGUGUAGGUGGUUUGGUAAGUAGGGCGUGAAAGCUCCUGGCUCAACUGGGAGAGGACGUUCUAAACUGCCAAGCUUGAGGAUGGUAGAGGGAGGUGGAACUCCGGGUGUAGCGGUGGAAUGCGCAGAUAUCCGGAGGAACACCAGUGGCGAAGGCGGCCUCCUGGACCACUCCUGACACUCAGACGCGAAAGCUAGGGUAGCAAACGG
rnacentral:rRNA from 1 species